ensembl:lncRNA LINC02289 long intergenic non-protein coding RNA 2289
ACAAAAGCCGAGAAGGGAUUUUCUUCAGGAACCUCCUUGUGGCUCUGCCAUGGCGGGGAGGGUUGGGGGUAAGAAAUAUAAGACCCAAUUCCCUGUGGAGGCGGGGAUUCGGUGAAACCAAUCCCUUGAAUGUGGGGUGGAACCAACAUGUAACUCAAUUUGCUUUGGCUCUCACUGUGCAUUUGAGCUAAAGCAAGGGAAGCAUUUCCCCUUCCCCUGGCUGAAAGCUCAGCUGACCCCGAGGCUCUUCUGGUCAUGCUUAGGUACAGCUAUGACUCCAUCUUCAACCCCUAGAAAUCCAGCAUCCUCUUCCAACUUCUUUCUGCUGACAUCCCUUUGCCCUUCUCAGAGGCCCUACAGGACUUAAAAUGACCCCCACCUUGGCCCUCUCUCCUGCCAUGGUCCAUCUGAUCCACAUGUGGCCCAUGGGAAGAACUCACACAGCCCCUUCACUCAUCCUAAUGCAGUCCCUCCUGGCACAGUCCCAUGGGGGCCCACAGCUCCAAGUGGCUGCAUGGAAGCCCCCAUCACUAGGCUUGAGUUGAAAGCAGUAGGGCCCCUAACUCCUUGGUGGGGUAGCUUACAGCAUGGCUUUGCCCUUUCUGGAAGUUUCUAUUUCCAAACUCUCCCCAUUCUCCACACUCUAUAUUGUUGGUAGGCUGAGGGCCCUGAGUGCUAUGCAACUGGUUCCCCAUUAUUUCCUUUGUAAAUACUACAUAUGGGAGUCUGUCUCAUGUUCAGUUUGCUAUCUGAUGAUAUUGUGGUAGCCUGCUUCCACAAUGGCCCCUCAUUGUCCCCAUCUCCUGGUAUUCACAUCAUUGUGUCUCCUCCCUCCGUGAACAGGGCCGACCCUUGUAGCCACUUGCUAUUGCAGAGCUGAUGGCAUGCAUCUUCUGAGGCUAGGUCAUUGUUGUGUGUUUAAUGAUGUCCCCCAGAAGAUAUGUUGCAGCCCUAACCCCCAGGGCCUAUAAAUGUGACCUUUUCUGGAAAUAGUCUUCGCAGUUGUAAUCAAGGGUUGUUCUUGACUAGAGUGGGCCCUACAUCCAAUGACUGGUGUUCUCAUAAGGAGAGAGAGACAAAGAGUAGACAGACACAAGGGAGAAGGCCGUGUGAAGAUGGAGACAGAGAUUGGAAUGAUACAGCCACAAGCCAAGAAACAUCUGCGGCCGUCAGAAGUUGGAAGAGGCAAGGAAUGAUUUAUUCUUUCCCACUCAUUGUUUCACCAAUGAGCACCUUCCAUGUGCCACCGUUCUGACCCUGCUGACAAUGUGGUUUCAGACUUCUGGCCCCCAGAACUGUGAAAGAGUAAAUUUCUGUUAAGUUAUCUUGCUUGUGGUACUUUGUUACAGCAGCCCUGUGGAUCUAAUAUAGUCAUAAGAGACAUUGUGACCUCCUCCCUGCUCUCUUGAACCACUCAUUCUGGGAGAAGUCAGCUGCCAUGUCAUGAAGCUACUCAGGGAGGUCCAUGGAGAGGUCCACAUGGCAAGGAACUGAGGCCUCCUGCCAGUAGCCAGCACCAUCUUGCUGGCCAUGUGAGCGUGCCAUCUUAGAUGCAGAUCAUACGGCCCCAGUCAAGCCUUCAAAUGACUGCAUCCCUACUUGACAUUUUGACUGUAACCUCAUGACAAACCCUAAGCCAGAACACCAGCUAAGCCACUCCCCAAUUCCUCAUCAAGAGAAACUGAGAUAAUAAAUGUUUAUUAUUGUUUUAAGCUACUAAA